UACACUAAUGCUAGGAGCCUACGUAACAAAAUGGAGGACCUAGCGUUACUGGUUCAGGAAGUGAAAUCGGAUAUUAUAGGGAUAACAGAAACAUGGCGGAAUAGUAGUCAUGACUGGAGUACAGGUAU